rnacentral:rRNA from 1 species
GGUUAAGCGACUAAGCGUACACGGUGGAUGCCCUGGCAGUCAGAGGCGAUGAAGGACGUGCUAAUCUGCGAAAAGCGUCGGUAAGGUGAUAUGAACCGUUAUAACCGGCGAUGUCCGAAUGGGGAAACCCAGUGCAAUUCGUUGCACUAUCGUUAACUGAAUACAUAGGUUAACGAGGCGAACCGGGGGAACUGAAACAUCUAAGUACCCCGAGGAAAAGAAAUCAACCGAGAUUCCCCCAGUAGCGGCGAGCGAACGGGGAGCAGCCCAGAGUCUGAAUCAGCUUGUGUGUUAGUGGAACGGUCUGGAAAGUCCGACGGUACAGGGUGAUAGUCCCGUACACCAAAAUGCACAGGUUGUGAACUCGAAGAGUAGGGCGGGACACGUGGUAUCCUGUCUGAAUAUGGGGGGACCAUCCUCCAAGGCUAAAUACUCCUGACUGACCGAUAGUGAACCAGUACCGUGAGGGAAAGGCGAAAAGAACCCCGGCGAGGGGAGUGAAAAAGAACCUGAAACCGUGUACGUACAAGCAGUGGGAGCACCUUCGGGUGUGACUGCGUACCUUUUGUAUAAUGGGUCAGCGACUUAUAUUCUGUAGCAAGGUUAACCGUAUAGGGGAGCCGCAGGGAAACCGAGUCUUAACUGGGCGUUAAGUUGCAGGGUAUAGACCCGAAACCCGGUGAUCUAGCCAUGGGCAGGUUGAAGGUUGGGUAACACUAACUGGAGGACCGAACCGACUAAUGUUGAAAAAUUAGCGGAUGACUUGUGGCUGGGGGUGAAAGGCCAAUCAAACCGGGAGAUAGCUGGUUCUCCCCGAAAGCUAUUUAGGUAGCGCCUCGUGAACUCAUCUUCGGGGGUAGAGCACUGUUUCGGCUAGGGGGUCAUCCCGACUUACCAACCCGAUGCAAACUACGAAUACCGAAGAAUGUUAUCACGGGAGACACACGGCGGGUGCUAACGUCCGUCGUGAAGAGGGAAACAACCCAGACCGCCAGCUAAGGUCCCAAAGUCAUGGUUAAGUGGGAAACGAUGUGGGAAGGCACAGACAGCCAGGAUGUUGGCUUAGAAGCAGCCAUCAUUUAAAGAAAGCGUAAUAGCUCACUGGUCGAGUCGGCCUGCGCGGAAGAUGUAACGGGGCUAAACCAUGCACCGAAGCUGCGGCAGCGACACUAUGUGUUGUUGGGUAGGGGAGCGUUCUGUAAGCCUGCGAAGGUGUGCUGUGAGGCAUGCUGGAGGUAUCAGAAGUGCGAAUGCUGACAUAAGUAACGAUAAAGCGGGUGAAAAGCCCGCUCGCCGGAAGACCAAGGGUUCCUGUCCAACGUUAAUCGGGGCAGGGUGAGUCGACCCCUAAGGCGAGGCCGAAAGGCGUAGUCGAUGGGAAACAGGUUAAUAUUCCUGUACUUGGUGUUACUGCGAAGGGGGACGGAGAAGGCUAUGUUAGCCGGGCGACGGUUGUCCCGGUUUAAGCAUGUAGGCUGGUUAUCCAGGCAAAUCCGGAUAAUCAAGGCUGAGGUGUGAUGACGAGGCACUACGGUGCUGAAGUAACAAAUGCCCUGCUUCCAGGAAAAGCCUCUAAGCAUCAGGUAACAUUAAAUCGUACCCCAAACCGACACAGGUGGUCAGGUAGAGAAUACCAAGGCGCUUGAGAGAACUCGGGUGAAGGAACUAGGCAAAAUGGUGCCGUAACUUCGGGAGAAGGCACGCUGGUGUGUAGGUGAAGUCCCUGCGGAUGGAGCUGAGACCAGUCGAAGAUACCAGCUGGCUGCAACUGUUUAUUAAAAACACAGCACUGUGCAAACACGAAAGUGGACGUAUACGGUGUGACGCCUGCCCGGUGCCGGAAGGUUAAUUGAUGGGGUUAUCCGUAAGGAGAAGCUCUUGAUCGAAGCCCCGGUAAACGGCGGCCGUAACUAUAACGGUCCUAAGGUAGCGAAAUUCCUUGUCGGGUAAGUUCCGACCUGCACGAAUGGCGUAAUGAUGGCCAGGCUGUCUCCACCCGAGACUCAGUGAAAUUGAACUCGCUGUGAAGAUGCAGUGUACCCGCGGCAAGACGGAAAGACCCCGUGAACCUUUACUAUAGCUUGACACUGAACAUUGAGCCUUGAUGUGUAGGAUAGGUGGGAGGCUUUGAAGCGUGGACGCCAGUCUGCGUGGAGCCAACCUUGAAAUACCACCCUUUAAUGUUUGAUGUUCUAACGUUGGCCCCUUACCGGGGUUGCGGACAGUGUCUGGUGGGUAGUUUGACUGGGGCGGUCUCCUCCCAAAGCGUAACGGAGGAGCACGAAGGUUAGCUAAUCCUGGUCGGACAUCAGGAGGUUAGUGCAAUGGCAUAAGCUAGCUUGACUGCGAGCGUGACGGCGCGAGCAGGUGCGAAAGCAGGUCAUAGUGAUCCGGUGGUUCUGAAUGGAAGGGCCAUCGCUCAACGGAUAAAAGGUACUCCGGGGAUAACAGGCUGAUACCGCCCAAGAGUUCAUAUCGACGGCGGUGUUUGGCACCUCGAUGUCGGCUCAUCACAUCCUGGGGCUGAAGUAGGUCCCAAGGGUAUGGCUGUUCGCCAUUUAAAGUGGUACGCGAGCUGGGUUUAGAACGUCGUGAGACAGUUCGGUCCCUAUCUGCCGUGGGCGCUGGAGAAUUGAGGGGGCUGCUCCUAGUACGAGAGGACCGGAGUGGACGCAUCACUGGUGUUCGGGUUGUCAUGCCAAUGGCACUGCCCGGUAGCUAAAUGCGGAAGAGAUAAGUGCUGAAAGCAUCUAAGCACGAAACUUGCCCCGAGAUGAGUUCUCCCUGAGACUUUAAGUCUCCUGAAGGAACGUUAAAGACGAUGACGUUGAUAGGCCGGGUGUGUAAGCGCAGCGAUGCGUUGAGCUAACCGGUACUAAUGAACCGUGAGGCUUAACCUU